GAGGUUGUGGCUCAGCGGUAGAGCACUCGCCUCUCACAUGUGAGAUCCUGGGUUCCAUCCUCAGCACCACA
rnacentral:tRNA from 1 species